rnacentral:rRNA from 1 species
GAUGAACGCUGGCGGCGUGCCUAAUACAUGCAAGUCGAGCGAAGCCUUCGGGCUUAGCGGCGGACGGGUGAGUAACGCGUGGGAACGUGCCCUUUGGUACGGAAUAGCCCCGGGAAACUGGGAGUAAUACCGUAUGUGGUCGAGAGACGAAAGAUUUAUCGCCAAAGGAUCGGCCCGCGUUGGAUUAGGUAGUUGGUGGGGUAAUGGCCUACCAAGCCGACGAUCCAUAGCUGGUUUGAGAGGAUGAUCAGCCACGCUGGGACUGAGACACGGCCCAGACUCCUACGGGAGGCAGCAGUGGGGAAUCUUAGACAAUGGGGGAAACCCUGAUCUAGCCAUGCCGCGUGAUCGAUGAAGGCCUUAGGGUUGUAAAGAUCUUUCAGUGGGGAAGAUAAUGACUGUACCCACAGAAGAAGCCCCGGCUAACUCCGCGCCAGCCGCCGCCGUAACAC